GUAUGUGUAUAUAUGUGUGUGUGUGUGUGUGUGUGUGUGUGCAUAUCUAAUUAGUUCUGUUUCUUUAGAGAAACCUAACAAACCUGGAAUGCUCAAUUACCCAGUAGUCUAUAUGUUGGGAAGCAUUAAACACUAUUGUGUCCUUCAGAAGUAUAUACAGUGCACAUUCAUAUAUCAAAGGCUCCAAGGACUUUUUUCAGUUAAAAAAGAAAAACAAAAGCUUUGUAACUAAAAACAAAAGGCACCGGUAAGCUGUGCAUAUAGUGCUAGUGUUCUGAGGAAUAUACUUGUAAAUAUGGAGCAGUGGAGCCAAUUUGUAAGCCUAGUACUACAUGGAAGGGCCUGCCAAGUGCUUUAGGGAAAGCACGGGGAACCGUAAGUACAGCACAAUGGUUAAAAGGUGGGGCUCUUGUAUCAUACUGCAUGAACUCUGUGUGGAUAGUUCAGUACCUGUUGUAAAGAUUAAGUGAGUUAACACAGGACACAUGCUCUGAAAAGUGAAAAUUGCUGUUAUUAUAAUCUACUUGCGCUGAGAAUUAACCUUGGGAUUAUAGAUUCCAAUGUGGAAGAAUUUAGUCUUAAAAGUUGGAUUGCAGGAAAAUAAUGCAUUUUUUUGGAAAAUAUAAAACAAUCUACAAAUUUUAAAAUAUGAUCCUUUGAACCACUAUAGAUGGUACUAUUACUAGACACAUUAUUGAUUCAGUGACAUUGCUGGAUAGAGUCUUAGCGAAAAGCUGGCUGAUGGAUCUUUGUUUCCUCCAUAACUUCAGAACUUCUGCUGAUACCAUUACUCUUAAAAGUAAUUUUAGUGCAUAUAUUCAUUAUAUCAUAAUUAUUUAUUUAUAUGCUUGUGAGCACUUUGUGAGUAGAAAUCUUAUCUCAUUCAUCUUUGUCCCAGCAACCACCAGGGUGUCUGAUCGGGAAGCAGUUCAGAAAAUAUAAGUAAAUCUAUCUGCGCCCAUUUAAACUUGCAUUAGAAAAGUGCUAAGAGCUUCAGCUAUACUAAACUAUGCUCAGAGAGACUUUACUCGUGACGAUGCAGUAACGUGAUUUGUCCUGACGUAUAUUCAAAUCUAAGUGAGUAUAAACUCUGCUCAAUUUUAAUCUUUUUUCUUUUCUUUAGCUUCCCAGGUACACUGUAGAGUGCCCGUAACUUAUAACACACAUACACAGCAGACUAAAAGAAUCUCUCAUCCUAGAGUGUCUGAAUACUACCCAAAACAAUUGUUUACAUUAUAAGGCCACAGUAGGCUUUAAACAGGACUAGACUUGGGUUUAAGUCUUCUGUGCUUAGAGGUAAAUUCCCCUCUGCCUUGCCAUGGAAGUGCCCUAUUGGUCUCCAGCGUUGAAAUCUACCAGUCUGAACUCAAGGUCCAUCUAUUUGGCUAAGGCACCUCAGCAUCAUCUUUUCUAUCCAGCUGGCCUCGAAAUCCAAUCCUAUCCCCAAAUGUGGGAUUUCUUCUCACACAAGCUGGCUCCAAACCAGGAUCCAUGCCACAGGGAAACAGUAACUUUAGAAAAUGAGCUUCAGGGGCCUCAUCUGCUCCAUGCCUCCAUGACCGUGCCCCGUCUCCCUGCAUUGGUUCCAGGCAGCUUGCUCCCAAAGUCCACAAUGCAGGGCCACCUCCCCUGUAUCCUCAUAAGUUAUUUCCUCACAAACCUACCACAUUUGGUCUGCAGCCCAGGGAUGUAAAAACUGACAGGGACAACUAAUUGCUGCCAUUUUCUUUUUUCUCCUUCUUUCCACAGUCCAACGAGGCCAAAAAGGAGCAGCCUCUUCUCCUUCUGGAUCUGCUGCACUGAAAGCUCUGUGUUUUGGCAGUCAAGUCCGUUUCUGAAUAUUUUGAAGAGGAGACCAAGGAAUUCACGUAAUCAUUUCCCCAAAUAAUAAUCUAUGGUGAAAGGUUAAUGUCUCUGGGCAAAGUCCUAUUUUGACUAUCAGAACACCAGUGUUUUUUAUUUGAUAUUUGCUAAAGAAUGAAAAACAUAUUAAUUUUCCCUACUUCACCCUUAUCCACCUUUGGGCAAGUCAGGAUGAAUCACUGUGCUCAAAAUAGGCACAAGAGAAAAAUUACAAUAAUGCUUUUCAAAAACAAUUUUUUUUUUGAGAACUGAAGAUGCUUCUUGUUUAUGAGUUAUACUGAGGGGAUAACGUUGCUCUUCAGGACACAGAAGAUAAUUGGAAAUGAGACAUAAGAUUUUAAUAUUAUUUCUUCAGUGCACUGUACCUUUCUAGGAAGACUCUAAAAUCCUUUCUCAUCUUUUUAAAAAGUAUUUUUGAAAUAAUAUAGACUCACAGGAAGUUGAAAAAACAGUACAAAGUCCAGGAUACCCUUCCCCCAGCCUCCCCCGGUGGUAACAUCUUACGUGCCUACGGUGAAAUAUCAAAACUGGGAAAUGCCAUUGUAUAAUACUGUUAACUAGACUAUUGGCCUUAUUCAGACCUCACCACUCUUUACAUGUUUUACACAAUAUUGUUUAUUUCUUUUUACACAAUCUCAUUUUCUACACAAUCCUGAGAGUAGGUUAGAGAUGCAGCAAAUGAGGGUCAGAAAAUUUAGAGUACUGUUCCUAUCCCAGUGUGAUGCCCCCCCUCUGAAAAGUAUGUCCUGACAUGUUUUCCUUUGUAGUUUUAACUAUUCCCACCAGAGAUUUGCUAAAUUCAUCCUAAAUAUGUGUGCCUUAUUUUGAGUUGUAUGUAUCCCUAAGAGAUUAACUCACUCAAUUCUUUAUUAUUAUUUUAUUAUUAUUAUUAUUAUUAUUAUUAUUAUUAAAGAUAUCUAGAGAUGAUAGUUGCCUGAGAGCUCUGGGUAAAACUUGGAGGAUAGAUGCUGAUAAUGAGAAAGGAUCCACAAAAGGAGAGCUUGGGGCAACCCAGGGCAAAUAAAUCCUCCUUCACGCUUGCUGCCGGAAAGCCGUAUUCCGUAUUCAUCAGGUACGUCUGGGACGACCAUGGAAUGUAGCCACUUUGGACAAGCGGAUGACUUUGGUUUUGAGGAGCAAUACCAAAUGAAGAAGUGCAAUAUUAAAAUCUAAAGUGGCAAUUAUCUUUAUUUCAAAAUAAGAAUGACCUGGAUAACACACAAACAUAAAUUUUGAAACCUCAAAACAGCAAAGAAAAGAAUGGAAGAGUUAGACUCUCUUACGUUUCAAGAAGCAAUUAGGGAAAAACAGCACAGCACUCCAUAAGGCUGGAAACCAGUUGUCUGGAGGUUUUAGCGGUGCCAAUGAGUAGAAAAAGUUUCCAUAUAAUUUCAAUAACCAAGUAGACUCAGAGUGACUCAAGACAUGUCUGGAGUUCAGACUUAUUUGAUGGAAACUUUGUAGGCUGGGUUUUCCUUUUUUCCCACUCCGACUUUACAAGCCAGAGCCUACAUACUUGGAAACAGUAACUAGGCAAUUACUAACUGGUUGCUGAGUGAUGGCGUCAAUAGUUGGAAAAAUGCUUGAAUGUGGAUUCGUGACAGCUAUCAAGACACACUGUAUAUUUGGGAAAUGUGAAGACUUUUUUCCAAAUGAAAUUGUUUAAGACAAAAUCUAUGAAAUAUGAGUCACCUGCCAGACUUCCAAGAAACCAAUGCUCCUGAGUUUCCUUAACACAUGGUGAUUCACUCUUCCAGGAUGUUCUAGAAGGUGGAGAACAUGAGCAGAGGAGGAGCAGAGAGAGAAAGAGACACAAAAUCCAAAGUAGGCUCCAGACUCCGAGCUGUCAGCAAAGAGCCCGACACAGGGCUCGAACUCACAAACCCUAAGAUCACGACCUGAGCCGAAGUCGGACGCUUAACUGACAGAGCCAUGCAGGUGCCCCAGUGCUUCAUUUCUGAUUUUAGAUUGUAGAGACCACAAAAACUUUAGACUUUAUUCCUCUGGAGUCAUCACUGAUCAAGAAGGCUAGUCAAUUAUCACUGGUUACUCUGUGUGGUAAGACUUCGAUCUUUAUUUCUCUAUAAGAAAUCAUCAACACAGCAACAUGUAAGUGUUGAUAUUUCCUGAUAAUUCCAGUAUAUGUUAUUUUAACUUUGCUCGUGGGUUUCAGAACUAGUAGUGCGUUCUCAUUAGCAGAGCUCUAUUCCAGGAGUUGGAAAUUAAGAAGCAAUAAAUCAUGAAAAAUCCUUUCUGGUUGUAGUAAUAAGUCUGGCUGUUUCAGUGUAUUUUUCUAUGUUUACUUAGCAAAAGGCUUAAGUAAGCCCACACUGAAUAAAUAUGGGUCAGGGUUCCCUUCCCUCUCUUCCAUUCUACUUCUCUCCAAGGAAAUUGGUGUGGGAGAAAAUCGCUCUGUCUGAAAUGGUGACCCUCCUUGGAACCGGACUCUCAUCCAGAUCUCCAUCAGCUCACUCUCAAGGCAUUUAACUCAAGCUUCAUACAGAACCCUUGGGCAUUACGUUUAUAGUUUCUACAGGAAGGCUUAUUGAGAAGGAGAAGAGAGAGGGCAAAUAUGGAACAUCGGUGCCCAGGGAGCUGAUGGAGGUUGGAAUUCUCUUUCUUGCACCCUGGGAAAGUGGUGGUCUCAUUGACACUCACUCUCGGUACAGAUCUUGGUUCUGGCAUGAGAAGUUGGGCAAAUUCCCACAAGAAGAAGAAAGGAGGAAAAGGUAUGGACAGGAUUCAAAGUUUCAAAUUCCCUCUUGGAAAACCAAAUUAAUAAUAAAUGAUUUGAAAUUUUAGAAUAAAAAUUUUUAUUUAGUGUUUUAAAUAUAAAAUUGUAUCAUAAUAGUAUUUCCCCCCAAAUACACAAGCCUCACUGAAAGUCUAAUAUACUCCACAGAAGAUCUUUGGUCUGAAGUAUGGGUAUUUCACCAGGGGUCCUGGUCACCCUGGGGUUUGGGGCUUGGGAGUCGGGGUUGGGGUGGGGGCUAGAGAAACACUGGAAUUUCUUAGUUCUCCUCCCUAUAGGGGGUUUACCUUUCUAAACACUCCUGGUAUUUUGGUCAUAUUACGAGCAUGUGGCAUACCACCCAAAGAAUGGAUUUGGCAGUCAUUCUGGUGAUUUGAUUAAAAAAACCCAGCCAACUGGAAUAAUUCAAUUUGAUGAGCAUAUUUUUUUUCUUCCCUUCUAGUUUGCCUGCUGUUUAUAAAGUCAUGAUUCCCUAAUUUUUUUAAUGAUUCCCAAAUUUAAAACUUGUGCACAGACUGGUCCUAAUACUGGUGGAAAAUUUAGAACCUAGGAUUCGAUGCAAGCCAAGUAAUUAUUUUUUAUGAGCUUAAUUAUUUUCCAUUGUAAGAUUGUUCUCUUUGCAGGAGAAUCAUUUAAAAGUGCUGUUUCUCAAGAAUUGAGAGCCCAGAAAUAAACCUACGCACAUUUGAGCAAUUAAUCUACGACAAAGCAGACAAGAAUACACAAUGGGGAAAAGACAGUCUCUUUAAUAACUGAUGUUGGGAAAACUGGACAGCUACAUUCAAAAGAAUGAAACUAGAUCAUUUCCUUACACCAUAUCCAAAUAUUGACACAAAAGGGAUAAAAUACUUGAAUGUAAGACCUGAAAACACAAAACUCCUAGAAGAAAAUAUAGGCUAUAAGCUUCUUGACAUUGCUCUUAGCGGUAUUUUUUCUACCUGAAUCCACAGGCAAGGGCAACAAAAGCAAAAAUAAACAAAUGGGACUACAGCAAACCAAAAAGCUUUACACAGCAAAGGAAACUUUCAGCAAGAUGAAAAGGCAACCUACUGAAUGGGAGAAACUAUUUGCAAAUCAUCUAUCGAUAAUAUCCAAAAAAUAUGAAGAACUCUUAUAAUUCAAGAGGAAAAAACAACAAAUCUAAUUCAGAAGAUCUGAACAGACGUUUUUCCAAAGAAGGCAUGCAAAUGACCAACAGGCACAUGAAAAGAUGCUUAACAUUACUAAUCAUUGGAAAAAUGCAAAUCAAAACCGCAACAAGAUAUCACCUCAUACCUGUCAGAAUGGCUAUUAUCAAAAAAGCAACAAACAAACAAACAGAAAAGAAAUGAUAAGUCUUGGUGAAGAUGUAAAGAAAAGGAAUUCUCAUGUACUAUUGGUGGGAAUGCAAAUUGGGCAGCCACUAUGGAAAACAGUAUGGAGUUUCCUCAAAAAAUUAAAAAUAGAAUUACCAUAUAACCCAGCAAUUCCACUUUUGGGUAUUUAUCUGAAUAAAAACACUAACUUGAAAAGAGGCAUACAGCCCUACCUUCAUGGCAGCGUUAUUUAUAAUAGUCAAGAUAUGGAAGCUACAUGUGUCCAUUAAUAGAUAAGUGGAUAAAAAAAUGGUACAUACAUACACACACACACACACACACACACACACAAUGGAAUAUUACUCAACCAUAAAAAGAAUGAAACAUUACCACUUUUGACAACAUGGAUGGACCUGGAAGAUAUUAUGCUAAGUGAAAUAUGUAAGAUAUAGAAAAAGACAAAUAUACAAUUUCACUUAAAUGUGGAAUCUACAAAACAAAACAAAUGAACAAACAAAAUAAAACAAAACCCGACUCAGAGUUACAGAGAACAGACUGAUGGUUGCCAGAGGAAAGGGCAUUUGGGGGUGGGCAAAAUGCAGUAAGGGAAAUCAAGAGGCACAAAUUUUCAGUUACAAAAUAAAAUCAUAGGAAUGUAAUGUCCAGCACAGGGAAUAUAGGCAAUAAUAUUGUAUUAACUCUGUAUUGUGGCAGAUGGUAACUAGACUUGUUAUGUUGAUCAUUUUUGUAGUGUAUAUAUAUAUAAAUAUUGAAUCGCUACGUUGAACACCUAAAACUAAUAUAAU